CAAGUCGAACGGUCCCAGCAAUGGGAUAGUGGCGCACGGGUGCGUAACGCGUAUGAAACCUGCCCUUCACUGGGGGAUAACCUCUCGAAAGAGAGGCUAAUACCGCAUAAGAUAGUAGAACGGCAUCGUUCAGCUCUUAAAACUCCGGUGGUGAAGGAUGGUCAUGCGUCCAAUUAGCUAGUUGGUAGGGUAACGGCCUACCAAGGCGAUGAUUGGUAGGGGGUCUGAGAGGAUGAUCCCCCACACUGGUACUGAGAUACGGACCAGACUCCUACGGGAGGCAGCAGUAGGGAAUAUUGGUCAAUGGAGGCAACUCUGAACCAGCCAUGCCGCGUGCAGGAAGAAGGCCCUCUGGGUUGUAAACUGCUUUUGAUCAGGAACAAAUGACCCCUGCGGGGGUAGCUGAGUGUACUGAUAGAAUAAGCCACGGCUAACUACGUGCCAGCAGCCGCGGUAAUACGUAGGUGGCAAGCGUUGUCCGGAUUUAUUGGGUUUAAAGGGUGCGUAGGUGGCUUUGUAAGUCAGCGGUGAAACUCUGGAGCUUAACUCCAGACCGGCCAUUGAUACUGCAGAGCUUGAGUUCGAACGAGGUAGGCGGAAUUGACGGUGUAGCGGUGAAAUGCAUAGAUAUCGUCAAGAACACCAAUAGCGAAGGCAGCUUACUAGAACGACACUGACACUGAGGCACGAAAGCGUGGGUAGCAAACAGGAUUAGAUACCCUGGUAGUCCACGCCGUAAACGAUGAUUACUCGAUGUUAGCGAUAUACAGUUAGCGUCCAAGGGAAACCGAUAAGUAAUCCACCUGGGGAGUACGCUCGCAAGA
rnacentral:rRNA from 1 species